rnacentral:misc_RNA from 1 species
ACUGACGUGGAUCUCUUGUAGAGAGCCUAUAGAUAACCAUUGCGGGUGCCCUUAUCAAUCUGCACAAACAUUUGGUUGGAGAAUCGGAAAUCGAGAAAACAUGAAGCGCGCGCAUGCUCGACCAGCAGUACGUAGUUUGACACUUAGAGCACCCGCAAUGGUAAAGUAAGGUGUUCUCUAUAAAGCAUGUACAUCUCAGU